GAAAAAUUUAUGAUUAUGAACUGAUGGAAUAGAGAAAGGACCCUAAAGGUCUACAUGUAUCAAUUCAAAUGAUUUAUUUGUAGUAGAAGUACUAACAGGAAAUGAGAGUUUCUUUUGUUUAGCAAAAUGACAAAUGUCACAACUAGUAUUAUUUACAGGAGAAAAACUAGGAAGAUACUGUUGAAGAAUCUUGAGUCUUGAAUCAGAUGGAUGUCCAAGUCUAUAAUGCCAAGGAUCAAAGGCAGUAGAGGAAGAAGCAAAGACUUUGUGAGAAUGGAAUGAACUUGCAGGAUUGUUCAAUGCAUAGAGGCCUCCUUGCACUUCAGUUGUACAAAUUAUCUUCCAGUUUUGAAGUUUCUGAAUGAAACACAUUUGUUUAUGAAAAAAUAAGCAACAAUUAGAAGAAAAAAUUAAUUUUGUGGCUAAAAUGAGAUUAAAAUGAAAAGCAAGAAUAUAAAAAACAUCAUACAGAACUAAGUGAGAAGAAAGAAUGACAGUACUAGAAAUAUUGGUUGUGACUUUAGUACCAUUUGGCAAAGUGAAAGAAACAGGAGGAAUUAAUUUUGAAGAACAAAAAAGCUUUAAAGAACGAGUUAUGUGAUCCGUGGCUCCAAUGUCAAGGAUCCACUGAUCAGAAUUACUUUUACAAGAAAAGACAAAAUGAUUACCUAUGUUGGAGUCAAAGGAAGAAACAAGAUUGGUUAUAUGAACAGAAGGAGACUAAACUGAGUUAGAAGCAGUAGAUGAAUUAAUUUGUGAAGCCUGAAGUAGGGCCAGCAAACCUUGGUAUUGCUCUUAAGUGAAACCAAAACCAGGAAUAUCACCAAGACUCCCUUGGGACUGACUAAUAGGAGCACCUUCAGAAUGCUGAACAACAGCAGUAGGAUCAUCAUCUAUACUAACAUAAUUGGCAGCAACAGAAUAUCUCUUAGAAUCAGGUGGAUAGCCAUGCUUCUUAUAGCAUGUUUCCACAGUAUGCCUUGGCUUCCCACAAAAAGUAUAAAAUCUUGUGUCAAAAGAAGGUGCAGUUGGUCUUGGACCAUUAUUAGUGAAUGAUUUUGGACCACUGUAAAAUGACCUUGGCUUGAAUUCCUGUUGAUCACCUCUAACAGCUUUAUUAACAAGCACUUUGGGUUCAAUUUGAUUACCUGAGGAACUGAUCUGCCUUUCUUGUUGAACAACUAAAGAAAAUGCUUUGUUGAUUGUGGGAAAUGAAUCCAACAUCAUUAUCUGAGAUCUAACAUUGGCAUAUUGAUCAUUCAAACCCUUCAAAAAUCUGAGUACAUAAUCAUAGUCCAAAUACUCUGUAACUUUCAACAAUGCACCAUAGUUAUAAGGAUUUGCACAAGAACAAUUAGGAAUAGGUCUAAAAUUCAUUAAUUCAUCCCACAAUAUCUUUAAUUCUAUAAAAUAUUUAGUAACUGUUCGAUGACCUUGCUUGAGAGAAUAAAUCUCUUUCUGCAGAUCUGAAAUUCGAAGGAUGUCUCCCUGAGAAAAUCUCUCUUUCAAAUCUUUCUAUACAUCUGUUGCCUUAUCAAUACAAAUCACACUGUGAGUAAUUGACCGAGACAAAGAAUGGAUUAACCAUGAUAACACCAUAGUGUUACAUCUCUCCCAAGCAUGAUACAAAGGAUCUGUAGUUGCAGGAGCCCUCAAAUAACCAUCAACAAAAUCAACUUAUUCUUUGAUAGAAGCGCCAUCCUCAUUGCACGAGACCAAGAAUGGUAAUUGGGACCAAUGAGAACUGGAGAUACCAGAACAAGAGCUAGAUUUUCAUUAGGAUGAAGAUAAUACGGACUAGAGGGGUUUUGGGUAGGAUCUUGAUUAGUAGCCAUGAACAAAGGUUUACGGUUUCAGCAAGAAGAUGAAGAACAAUGAAGCAAUCUCGAGAAAAAAUGUGCUCUGAUGCCAUAUGAGAAAAAUGAAAAAAAUAUUAUUGAUUGAGAAGAAUGAAAAAAGAUACUGUAGACUCUUUAGCUUAUAUAUAUAUAUAUAUACAACCAGCUAAAGAAGGAGCUAAGAAACUGUCUCUAACUAAUCAGUUAAACUAAUCAAAUACACGUGGAGCAGCUAACUGACUGAUUAAUUGACUUCUGAAGCUUUAGCUCCUAAUUCUGUUUUCUGGUCUAAUACCCCCUCGCAAGCUGGGGAGUAUAUGUUCUUUAUACCCAGCUUGGCAGUGAGCUCUUAAAAAGAAGCUACAGGAAGUGCCUUUGUGCAAAUAUGUGCUAGCUGAGCUGCGGAAGAAAGAGGAAGCAAAUUGAUGAGACCAGAAUGAACCUUCUCACGUACCAAAUGGCAAUCUAUCUCAAUAUGCUUCAUACGUUCAUGGAAGGUGGGAUUAGUUGCAAUCUGGAGAGCUGAUUGUCACAGAAAAGAAGUGCUGGCUUUGCAUGAGAAACAUGGAAAUCUUUGAGCAAGUAACACAGCCACUGUAACUCACAAGUUGUUGAAGCUAGUGCUCGAUACUCUGCUUCUGAAGAGGAUCGAGAUAUUGUUGAUUGCUUCUUAGCUCUCCAACAUAUAAGUGACCCUCCAAGAAAAAUACAAUAACCAGUUACAGAUUUGCGAGAAUCCACACAUCCUGCCCGAUCUGAAUCAGAAAAAGCUUUCAAUUGCAAAUCCGAUGAUGUAGGGAAGAAAAUUCCUGCUCCUGGUGACCCUUUAAUGUACCUCAGAACUCUAUGUGCUGCUUGCAAGUGCUGUGAGGUAGGUUUAUCCAUAAAUUAACUUAAUUGUUGUGUGGCAAAAGAAAGAUCUAGCCUUGUAGAAGUGAGAUACAAAAGUCUACCAAUAAGUCUUCUAUACUGCUAAAUGUCAAUGAGGAUCACCUGCUGAUUGACUAAGUUUUAACUUACUAUCCAUUGGUGUAAGAGCUGGCUUGGAAUCCAAGAAGCCUGCAUCAGAGAGUAUAUCAAGAGCAUACUUUCUUUGAUUUAAAAUGAUACCAGAAGAAGUUCUAGUCACUUCAAGACCAAGGAAAAAUUUUAAAUUUCCAAGGUCUUUAAUUCUAAAUUUAUGGUCAAGAAAGGCUUUAACUCCAUUAAUCUCUACAAGAUUAGUGACAGCUAGGAUGACAUCAUCGACAUAAACAAGAAGCACUGUAUUAUCUGCUGAAGUUUUCUUGACAAAAAGAGAGUAAUAAGAACUUGAUUGAUGAUACCCCAAUGAGAGCAAUGCCUGAGUUAAUUUGC
rnacentral:misc_RNA from 1 species